AGAGUUUGAUCAUGGCUCAGAGUGAACGCUGGCGGUAGGCCUAACACAUGCAAGUCGAACGGCAGCACAAGAGAGCUUGCUCUCUGGGUGGCGAGUGGCGGACGGGUGAGGAAUACGUCGGAAUCUACCUUUUCGUGGGGGAUAACGUAGGGAAACUUACGCUAAUACCGCAUACGACCUACGGGUGAAAGCGGAGGACCUUCGGGCUUCGCGCGGAUAGAUGAGCCGACGUCGGAUUAGCUUGUUGGCGGGGUAAAAGCCCACCAAGGCGACAAUCCGUAGCUGGUCUGAGAGGAUGAUCAGCCACACUGGAACUGAGACACGGUCCAGACUCCUACGGGAGGCAGCAGUGGGGAAUAUUGGACAAUGGGCGCAAGCCUGAUCCAGCCAUACCGCGUGGGUGAAGAAGGCCUUCGGGUUGUAAAGCCCUUUUGUUGGGAAAGAAAUCCUGCCGGUUAAUACCCGGUAGGGAUGACGGUACCCAAAGAAUAAGCACCGGCUAACUUCGUGCCAGCAGCCGCGGUAAUACGAAGGGUGCAAGCGUUACUCGGAAUUACUGGGCGUAAAGCGUGCGUAGGUGGUUCGUUAAGUCUGAUGUGAAAGCCCCGGGCUCAACCUGGGAAUUGCAUUGGAUACUGGCGGGCUAGAGUGCGGUAGAGGAUGGCGGAAUUCCCGGUGUAGCAGUGAAAUGCGUAGAGAUCGGGAGGAACAUCCGUGGCGAAGGCGGCCAUCUGGACCAGCACUGACACUGAGGCACGAAAGCGUGGGGAGCAAACAGGAUUAGAUACCCUAGUAGUCC
rnacentral:rRNA from 1 species